rnacentral:rRNA from 1 species
UGGGGAAUCUUGCGCAAUGGGCGAAAGCCUGACGCAGCAACGCCGCGUGGGGGAUGAAGGCUCUCGGGUUGUAAACCCCUUUCAGCAGGGACGCGGUACCUGCAGAAGAAGCCCCGGCUAACUACGUGCCAGCAGCCGCGGUAACACGUAGGGGGCAAGCGUUGUCCGGAUUUAUUGGGCGUAAAGAGCUCGUAGGUGGCUGAGUAAGUCGGAUGUGAAGACUCCGAGCUCAACUCGGAGAGGCCACUCGAUACUGCUGGACUAGAAUCCAGUAGGGGAGUGUGGAAUUCCUGGUGUAGCGGUGAAAUGCGCAGAUAUCAGGAGGAACACCGGCGGCGAAGGCGGCACUCUGGGCUGGUAUUGACGCUGAGGAGCGAAAGUGUGGGUAGCAAACAGGAUUAGAUACCCUGGUAGU